AAGUAAUGGUACUGGGGAGAAUUUUUCAGAUGCUGCCUCCUCUAUUACCAUCCUGAAAUCUGUUUAUUUUUCUUUAGUUUCCUAAAUCCAGGCCUAUUUGCUAAUCUCAGAACAACUAAAUUGGAUAAAUGCAGAGCAGGUGCCGACAGAAUUUAAAUGGGGAGAGUGGCUGCAAGGUGCAAAUUGAUUUUUUAACUGUCCAUCCCAUGGAGGAUGUAGUAGUCUUCCCUGAAAAGGGCAGGACACAAGCCUUGGUUAUGUCCAAUUGCAGCUCAAUUAAGAGUAUAAAAGCGUUCCCCUGCAAGCAGGGCUUUCUUUUUUAUGAGCUGUUGGACAGAAAGAAGAGGAUGGAGCUAGUAAAGUGGAAAGGGACUCCCUUGGGCGGUAUGUUUAGGAUGCUCUGUUGCUUCUUUUCUUUGGUCCUAAGGGCCGCUAACAGCUUUAAAGAUAUGUUUAUGCUGGGAGACCAUCUCCUCCUUUGCCGCGGAUGGAAAAGCGUGCCUCUCGCCCUUCCCACAAACAGCAUUGCAGUGAUUUCCCUUCUGAGUGCUGUGGGUCUUGUGCUGCUGCUUCUGUGGGGAAAGGCUGAGCCUGUAAUGCAUGUGGACAAAGCUGAGGAGCAUCUGGCUCCUUCUGCAGGGUCUGUGUACUGCCUUCUGAUUCAGUGCGGGUAUGCAGCCCUGUCUGGUUAGACCAGCUAGGCUUCUGGUUGCUGUAAGCUUCUCAAAUGCUUGAUCCUGCCUGAUCUCCUAGAAGAGUAGCUGAUGGGAUGUGCAUCGUGCUAGCAGCUAGGAACAAAAGCUGGUUAUCACUCAUCCAGUUACUCUCAAUGCAAUUGAUCCUAUAUAAGAAGCGGGUGAGCUGAAAAUUUUAAGGAAAGUCCCUGAGAUUGCUGUAUGGCUGGAGGGAGGAGUAAACAUACAAGUGGAGAAUGGGACUCUGGAGAAGUGUGUCAGCUUGCUAAACUAAGUCCCUGUUUCUGCUCUAGGUGAGUGAGGGUUUGUAACAGGUUUCUGUGCUACCAAAGUCUCAGUGGUAAAACCAGCUUAAUCAUGGAGGGUCAACAAAAUGACCUCUUUCCAAUCCAGGACUGUAUUAUGAUCUGGAUCUCUUUACUUUGCCAAAAAAAAUAAAAAAAUAAUCUUACACUCUCA
rnacentral:lncRNA from 1 species